rnacentral:rRNA from 1 species
UACGUAGGGAGCAAGCGUUGUCCGGAAUCAUUGGGCGUAAAGCGCGCGUAGGCGGCCCUGUAAGUCCGUUGUGAAAGUCAAAGGCUCAACCUUUGAAAGCCGAUGGAUACUGCAGGGCUAGAGUCCGGAAGAGGCGAGUGGAAUUCCUGGUGUAGCGGUGGAAUGCGCAGAUAUCAGGAGGAACACCCAUAGCGAAGGCAGCUCGCUGGGACGGUACUGACGCUGAGACGCGAAAGCGUGGGGAGCAAACAGG